UACGUAGGUGGCAAGCGUUGUCCGGAUUUAUUGGGUUUAAAGGGUGCGUAGGCGGCCUAUUAAGUCAGUGCCGAAAUAUCCCGGCUUAACCGGGAGGGUGGCAUUGAUACUGAUGGGCUUGAGUAGAGUUGAGGUUGGCGGAAUUGACGGUGUAGCGGUGAAAUGCUUAGAUAUCGUCAAGAACACCUAUUGCGAAGGCAGCUAACUAAGCUCAAACUGACGCUGAGGCACGAAAGUGUGGGGAUCAAACAGG
rnacentral:rRNA from 1 species